rnacentral:lncRNA from 11 species
AACAUUAGAAUCACUCCAGACUUGCUUCCCCUUGUUUCAGAUUAAUGGCUGGAAGAUGUACUUCUGCUGUAAAAACCAGCCGUUAUGUCAUGUGAAUUCGCCAGAGUAUUUGUCAGAUCUUCCCUACGAUCCAUGGUUUUGAGGAAAAUGAGACCCUUGCCAAUUUAUUCAAUUGAAGAAAAUGGACCCUUGCUAAUUUCUUCAAUCUACUCCGUCUCACAUUCUGUUGAAUUCUUCUAAAUUGGGGCCAUGUUCACUGAAAUAUCUUUAUGGUAUGCAAUGUGCCAUGAGAUGUUCAUGGAUUGGAUAAAUUACUGCACUUCUCCCCCUUCAAAGAUGUACAGAGGCUUCUUGUGGAUACAGAAGGCCUGACCAACAGAGUACAGGACACAAGGCUUAUUUUCCAAGGUAGGAUCACUUUAAAUAACUGAAAUACAUGAAAAUGAAUUUGUCAAAGUUAUAAAUUUAAUCCACAAGAAAGUAUUACUCUUACAGUCAAAGACAUUUGGUAUACAUGCAUACUGAGAAAAUGGUAAUGUAGACAUAAUUUGUUGCGAAAGAGCCUCUUUUGAAGCCUUUAAUGAGGAGGAAGAAGUUGCAGGUAUAUAAUAUAUGCAUUUUUGUACCUUUAAAAUUGUC